AGAGUUUGAUCAUGGCUCAGGACGAACGCUGGCGGCGUGCCUAAUACAUGCAAGUCGAGCGGACUUAAAAAGCUUGCUUUUUAAGUUAGCGGCGGACGGGUGAGUAACACGUGGGCAACCUGCCUGUAAGACUGGGAUAACUUCGGGAAACCGGAGCUAAUACCGGAUAAUCCCUUUCUACUCAUGUAGAAAAGCUGAAAGACGGUUUACGCUGUCACUUACAGAUGGGCCCGCGGCGCAUUAGCUAGUUGGUGAGGUAACGGCUCACCAAGGCGACGAUGCGUAGCCGACCUGAGAGGGUGAUCGGCCACACUGGGACUGAGACACGGCCCAGACUCCUACGGGAGGCAGCAGUAGGGAAUCUUCCGCAAUGGACGAAAGUCUGACGGAGCAACGCCGCGUGAGUGAUGAAGGUUUUCGGAUCGUAAAACUCUGUUGUUAGGGAAGAACAAGUACGAGAGUAACUGCUCGUACCUUGACGGUACCUAACCAGAAAGCCACGGCUAACUACGUGCCAGCAGCCGCGGUAAUACGUAGGUGGCAAGCGUUGUCCGGAAUUAUUGGGCGUAAAGCGCGCGCAGGCGGUCCUUUAAGUCUGAUGUGAAAGCCCACGGCUCAACCGUGGAGGGUCAUUGGAAACUGGGGGACUUGAGUGCAGAAGAGAAGAGUGGAAUUCCACGUGUAGCGGUGAAAUGCGUAGAGAUGUGGAGGAACACCAGUGGCGAACGCGACUCUUUGGUCUGUAACUGACGCUGAGCGCGAAAGCGUGGGGAGCAAACAGGAUUAGAUACCCUGGUAGUCCACGCCGUAAACGAUGAGUGCUAAGUGUUAGAGGGUUUCCGCCCUUUAGUGCUGUAGCAAACGCAUUAAGCACUCGCCUGGGAUACGCCGCAAGCUGAAACUCAAGGAAUUGACGGGGCCCGCACAGCGGUGGAGCAUGUGGUUUAUUCGAAGC
rnacentral:rRNA from 1 species